rnacentral:lncRNA from 1 species
CCAGAAUGUUGAAGAAAUUAAUAUGUUGUUUGAAACUAUUAAAAAUAAAAAAACAAUAAAAAUUUUGAAUUUAUCAAAUACUAAUAUGAAUAAAGUAAUGUCAAUUGUAUAUGUUUAUUUUAUUUAUUAUUUUUAAUAUGUAUAAAAUAUUUGUGUAUAUAAGGUUGCAUACGAAUAGUUGCAAAAUAAUGUGUGUUUAUAUAUAUAUAUAUAUCAAAAAUUUUAAUAAAAAUUAUGUCUAAGACGAGUAACUUUUCCUUUUUUAUUUUAUUAUUACAUUUGUAUUUUUUUUUUUUUUUUCAUAUAUCUGUUAUAGAAUAAUGGUGAUAAAUUGUGUGAGAUGUUAGAAAAUAAUAAAGCCAUAAUAGAAAUGAAUUUUGAGAAUAGCGACUUCACGUGUGAUCAAAAUUGUAAAAUAAUAAAAUGUUUAAUAAGAAAUAAAAAUAUUUGGCUACAUCAAGCUGAAAUAGAGAAGGAGGAAAAUGAAAAGAUGGAAAAAGAAGAAAAUUAUAUGCAUACGUAUCAUAUGUCUGUAGAAGCUUCCAUUAUUGACAUUAAAAAUAAAGAAAAGCGACAAAGCUUGAAUAAAAUGGUUUACGUGAAUAUGUGGAAAAAAGAAAUAAAAGAGAAGGAACAAAAUAAAAAAAAUAUAUAUGAAUCCCUGGAGAAGGAACACGAAAAAAGAAUAAAAAGGGCUGCCGCAAAAAAAAAAAAGCAAAAAAAAAAGUAGACUUGUUAUAAAAAAAAUGUCAACUUUUUAUUAAGUGACAUUUUUAAAAUUAAUUAUUGUAGAAAUUUCUUUUUUGCACAAAAAAAAAGUAAAAUAUUAUUUAUUUAUUUAUUUAUUUAUUUUUUUUUUUUUUUAUUUUUUUUUUUUAAUGCUCAUGUUAUAUACAAUACUAAAAAUAAAAAAAGUGAACUGAUAUGAAAAAAAAAUUGA